UACGAAGGGGGCGAGCGUUGUUCGGAAUUACUGGGCGUAAAGGGCGCGUAGGCGGCCGAUCAAGUUAGAUGUGAAAGUCCUGGGCUUAACCUGGGGACUGCAUUUGAUACUGAUUGGCUUGAAUUCGGGAGAGGAUAGCGGAAUUCCCAGUGUAGAGGUGAAAUUCGUAGAUAUUGGGAAGAACACCGGUGGCGAAGGCGGCUAUCUGGACCGACAUUGACGCUGAGGCGCGAAAGCGUGGGGGAGCAAACAGG
rnacentral:rRNA from 1 species